AGUGUGUUGGCUGCUGGUGGUUCACCGAACCCUUCGGUGAGGCAACAGGGAACCCGGUGCGAAUCCGGGACUGCCCCGCAGCGGUGAACAGGAACGACCGUCGUAACUCGCGGACGCGAGCAACGGCACUGGGCACAGCACAGCCUGGGAAGCCACGACCAGUAGGACCGGCUCAGCCGGACGCCUGUGAGUCCGAAGACCUGCCACCGGUGCACGCGCGCAG
rnacentral:ncRNA from 17 species